GACGAACGCUGGCGGCGUGCUUAACACAUGCAAGUCGUGCGGUAAGGCCCUUUCGGGGGUACACGAGCGGCGAACGGGUGAGUAACACGUGAGCAACCUGCCCUUCACUUUGGGAUAACUGCCGGAAACGGUGGCUAAUACCGGAUAUGACUUCCUCACGCAUGUGGGGUGGUGGAAAGCCUUCGGGUGGUGGGGGAUGGGCUCGCGGUCUAUCAGCUUGUUGGUGGGGUGAUGGCCUACCAAGGCUUCGACGGGUAGCCGGCCUGAGAGGGUGACCGGCCACACUGGGAAUGAGACACGGCCCAGACGCCUACGGGAGGCAGCAGUGGGAAAUAUUGGACAAUGGGCGAAAGCCUGAUCCAGCAACGCCGCGUGAGGGAUGACGGCCUUCGGGUUGUAAACCUCUUUCGCCUGCGACGAAGCGAGAGUGACGGUAGCAGGUAAAGAAGCACCGGCCAACUACGUG
rnacentral:rRNA from 1 species